UGUGUGUGUGUAUGUGUGUACAGGUACAUUUCUGCAGAAGCCAGAGUUCUUGGAUGUCUCAGUGCUGGAUUUACACCUAGUGAGAGCCUUCCCGCAUGGGUGUUGGGAACCAAAUUUGGUUCUUCUCCAAAAGUACCCCAUGUUCUUCACUGGUAAGCCUUCUCUCCAGCCCCUUAAUGGAUAAUUUCGACCUGAAAACAAUGUACUUGAUACCCUUGAGUGCUUUAGCAAUAUAUGACUUAAAUUUAAAUUAUUUGAUCUCUCUCAUUUUUCUAACCUGUAAGAUAAGGAUAUUUGUUCUAGGAGUGUACCCCGUGGAGUGUCCUAUCAAGCUGCCUCGUGCCUGCAGCUGAUCUCACCUACACCGAAUUGCCACUCGCUCUCUGGUGACUUAUCUCCAGAUAAGUCAUCAUAACUACAAAAAGCUAAAUGACUUUACUUAAGGAAAAGAAGUAGAUGCUUCCGGAGAGACAGCAUAUUUUUCGUAUCUUAAAAUGGAUUCAUCUUCCAGCCAGACUUCAAACGGGAAUUUUUAUGGAAUCAAAUAAUAAUGAGAAGUCUUGUAAUUUCUAUCAUCAUCAACUGUCAUCAUCAUAGUCAACCACCAUCAUUGUCGUCAUCCUCAUUGUCGUCGUUGUCGUCGUCGUCGUCGUCGUCGUCAUCAUCAUCAUCAUCAUCAUCAUCAUUGUGUUUAUGUAUACAUGAAUGUUUAUGCCAGAGUUGGCCAGAGCAGUGACUUGGAUGCCUUGGAGUAAAGUUACAGGAGGUUGUGAGCAUCCAAUUUGGAUUCUGGGAAUGAAACCCCAGUUUAUUGAAAGAGGAGCAAAUCUUAAUCCUGUAAAUAUUAAUUUUAAUUACUUUAAUUACACACACACACACACACACACACACACACACACACACACACACAUAUAUUGAAAGUGCAGAUUCUAAGUGAAAAUCAAACACUUUAAGUUUGACUGGUAUCUGGGUAGGGUGACUCACACUGAUUCUAAACUUUCUUAAAAUAACUCAAUGAAACUUGGAGAAUUCAAUCCAAUUCAUGCUUAUUUCAAUUUAUGCAUGGACUAGAUUAAGGAUUCAAAUCAAUUAAUAAUUAACUCUAUAUUGUGUUGCUAAAAUGUGUGGAGAUAUAAGCUUCAUAGACAUUUUCAAAUACAUAGAAAAAGAAAUGUAAAGAGAGAAAGAGGGAGAAACGUAUUUUAUCUCAAAUGUACAUUUAACUGAAUAAGGCUUAAUGAAUUCUUAGCACCUAAGUAUUAAGUACUUAAGUCUAAUUAAAUUUAAAAUACUGAAAACUUUUAUGCAAAUUUUAAAAGAGUUUUCAUUUGAAUGUUUUUGUUCUUUGUACUCAUUUAAGUGAAAUUCACAGAAACUUAUUUCUCAUUAAAUAUUAUUUUAACUAAGUAUACCAAACAGUCUAUAAAAUGUUUUGAGCCGCUACUCAAUGUUCUAAAAUAAUUUUUGUGAAAUAUUUUAAUACUUUCAAUGGAAACCAACAGUCAUGAGAAGAGUGCAUAGGGAUCUGUAAGCGGACAGUCUUUCAUUAUUUGAAUUGAUGUAAGUUACAGAUUACAUGAAAUUAAAGUGAUGAAAAUUAUUUUAAAGGCAAAGAAUCAUUUCAAAAUUCAAUCUUUCUUUGGUUUGGUAGCAGAAAGCACCUUUAAUCUGUGUUAUCAUUUGAUAUUUCCAAUUAAGACUCUUCCUGACUACAUAGCUGAUUACAGUAACUGAGUCGGAGGUCUCCUGCCACUGCUGGGCUGUCCCCCACUCAUCAGUAACGAUGUGCUGCAUUCUUGCUUUCUGAAUGAAGUUUAGUGGGAAAUAGGCUGAUUCUGCCUCGUAGCUCAGUGCAGACCCCUUAAGCUGUCUCUACUUGCAACAGCUUUUAGGAUUUGAAAUGUUUAUGUAAUCAGCAUCCUAAAAUAUAGUGGCUAUAUUAUACACAUCAUAAAGUUUCUGAUAAUGAAUCUUAAAGAAAUACGUUUAAACAUUUCCUUGGUACAUAUAUAAUUUUAUCAUUUCCAAAAUUGAAAGCAUUUUUAUUCUACUGAAAUGGAUUUACUCAUUUACGUUUAUGUAAAAAGUUAAAUCUCAACAUAAUUUCUGAUAUGAUUUGAAUAUAAACUAGCCAACAUCUCUCCAAGUUGAUUACAUUUUAGUUUUUAUCAUCAUCAAUGCAUAGAGCACCGCUGGAUAAAUAACUACAAUGGUACAAAAGGCAGAAAUACUUCGGGACAUUUCAGAAUUUGUGGAAAUUCUGUCCUAAUCACCAGUGGCCAAUUAAAGAACUGUCCUUUAUGAAGUACAAGCCAAAAAUUCAAACUAUAUUUAAAAUCAAUAAUAUAGUGCAUUCAAAGGAUAUUAAUUUGAUACAUGUUGAGGAAUGAUUAUGGGAGACUAUUUAGUCUUUGUUUUCUGUAAUUUAAUCAAGAUGUUUCUAAUGGCAGAAUAUGCCACAAAGAGAAAAAUGUGACUCCCUACACAACCUACAUCGUCUCAAAUCUGAGCCUGUGCUUCAGCAGCAGGGCUUAGCUUUGUGCAGUGUGACAGCACACACAUGCGUGGUGCACUGUGGAGUGCUGUGGGUUCACAAUGAAACCUGGGCAGGUAUUGACAACCCCAACCCCAUUUUGGUAUCUGCAUAUUCUUAAAACUUCCUUUGCCAGAUUUCUUGGAGUCCAUUAUACAUACAUAUAUAUAUAUAUAUAUUCACAACUAUAAUUUACCCAACUGUGGUUUGAAGGAUAAUAUUUUACAGUUAUUGACAGGGGAUAAUGUUUCAGUUUUCCUUUUAAAAAUCUUUUACUCUAUUGUUUAAUUUCUCUGGAUCGUUUUCAUUGCAUACAUAUUUAUCUUAAAAAACUAUAGGUUUUAAACUAUCAGGUCUUCCAGUUUUUACCAAACAUGGUGGGCAACAUGAUUGUGAAUAUUAUUUGUGCACCUUGCCCAGCCUUCACACCCUCAUGAUAAUCCACUGACUUUAUUCAAGCUGAUCAUCUGCUCUUGUCCUGACAGCUUUGCCCCUCUGCCUUAGGCAUAAAAGGUUUCUCAGCUUUCUCUAAACCAGUCACCUAAGCUCAAUCAUUAUAUUCAGUUAUCCUCAAUUUUCAGUGACCGAGCAGACAAGGAUACCCAUAGAGUGACUGAAGUUCACACAGAUUCAUCUUUCUUCCCGUUGGUCAUAGAGAAACUGAGGACAGAGUCUCAGAAGUUUAAAUGCUGAGAACAAGACUCCUUUAGUUCGGCACCAUCUCACGGCUUCAUUUGCUCGUAUUAAGUCUAAAGCUUAUCAGACCAAUAAUACAGGGCUACAGAUUUUCAUUUCAAGCUCAUGAGGUGGUUAAGGAUUCAGUCACUUUCAAGUAAUAUUAUACACAUUGUUUCAAUAAAUAUGAUGACAGGAUACUGUGUUAGUAUUAUAAAUAUCAGUAAUCAAGUUAUUAUUCAUGUGAUCAUUUAUUUGUAAAUAUAAGCACUAUAGAAUCUAACAAUUCAAAUAUUUCUAACCUAGACAUCCACACACUUAGUCACCUUUUGCAUUCAUUAUUUCAUAUUUAUUUUACUACUAUAUGUAGAAUUCAUUUGUCCAAUUUAUUUAUUAUCCAAAUGAUUUUUAUUUUAUAAUAUAUGUAUAUAUAUAUGGAAACGCAUGCAUUCUUGAUAGAUAUCUCAGAGUUCUUCCAAUUUAGAAAAAUAGGUGGAGAAAUUGCAAUUUAGGUAAAUUCCCAUAGGAGUGUUUUUUUUUUAAGCAUGAAGGCAUUAACAAGAAAGCCCUAAGCAAAACCUGUAAACAAAGACUGCAAGAUGGUUCACAGCAUGUUAGAGACUGAAGUCACUAUGGGAGAAGAAUCUUUGCCAGGCAAAUAGAAUUUCUAACUAUCUUCUAUGCAAAACUGUAGCAAUAACAUGUUCUCCAAACAAAAACACAAAAUGACCUUUUUUUUAAUGUUCAUAUAUUUAUAUACUUCUUUUUUAAAUAAGAUCUAAUUAUGUAGACUUGGCUGGCUUUGCACUCACUCUAUGAAACCAGGCUGGUCUAGGACUCAUAGAGAUCUGCCUGUCUCUGUCUCCUGAGUCUUGGGAUUCAAGAUGUGUAUGCAGUUCCUUGGGAAUCCAUGAAAGGGCAUUGGUUCCCCUGGAGCUAAUUACAGGUAUCUGUGAACCACCCUUUUGAUGAUGGCAACAGAAGACUGAUCCUUUGCAGGACCAGCAAAUACUCUUACACACUGAGCCAUGUAUCUAACACUUUCAUCACAUUUUUUAUUUUUUAAACAAUUUCUCUUAUGUCUUCUGGCUGUCCUUGAAUUUCUAUUUAACUGAAGAGAUGAUGACCUAGGAAAUCUGAUCUUACAGCUUCUACAACCUGAAUACUGAGAUUACAUAGCCUGUGCCACCACAACCCAUGCAUGUGACCACAUGAUCAAGGCCAAGCCCUGAGGCAAGUAGUCUAUCCAUGGAAUGAUAUCUAUAGCCCAGAUUCAGUAUUUUCAAUAAAAUGGCUUUUAUAUUUUAUAUAUCAAUAAUUUACGCCUUGCCAAAUGUAAUUUUAUGUAAUGUUAAAGAGUCAUGAAUUUGAAAGUGAAUUUGACAGUUCCUACAUAGUAGUAGAUCUUUAAAAGAAGAGUAAAAUAGAACAAAACGUCUGGAUAAAAUCUAGACUUAUAGGAAAUAUGAAAUAAAAAAACUAGGGUCACUGACUGAAAGACUGUUAUUUGUUGUUAUUUUUUAAUUUUCUAAUAAGACAUUCCAUAUGUUACUAAUUUUUGAUCAACACAGUCCCUUAAAAUGGCUGUGCUAUGCAUGCAUAUGACAUUCAUGUAUAUAAUAUGUAUGUUUUAUAUUCAAAUUGAUAAAAACCUCAAAGUGACAGAUGAGAGUCAAUGUAGAAAAUAUUAAAGGUAAGUAAAGUUAAAUAUUACUUAAUAGAAAAAGGCUUUUGAAACCCUGUAUCUACUCCCAUGCCCUCAUACUUGUGUUAUUAUCUACAUGCCAAGAUGAGAGUCAUUUUACUGGGUAUUCUAUAUGUGACAGUAAUCUCAAAGUACAAUCACUUCAAGUUUGCCUGUAGAAAAGGCUAGAUGUACAAAUCCGGUCUGAUUUCAUGAGAAACUUAUAGCACAGGAAGUUUACUCCAGUGAACAGUCAGUGAGUUAUAGACGUCAACCACCACGUCUAUCCCCUUGUUAGAAACACCCAUCAAUCAGAUCAAAGAGAGCUGUGACCAUCUGACCAGGUGCAGGAAGCACAAAGAUGCUGAGCGGAUUCAAGAGACUGGAACUGGCAACCUUUCACCUUAGCCAUGUGCUAGAGAAAACAUUUGAUAGAUUCAUAUUCAAAAUGCAUUUGUAUGGUUUUAUUAUCAAGCCUGUCUUGUGGCGCUAGCCUAGCAGAAAAGUAAUGGACCAUUAUAUGACUACUCAAAGUUGUAGUAGAAGGCUAACUUCUUAAUGUUAAUCCUUCUUGCAUGGUUUUUAUAUUUUUACCACUGUUUAUUUCAUAAUACUUAAGACGUUUCACCAAAUGCAAAAUAAAAAAAAAUCUUAAAAGCUCAUUUUAGUGAGCGGCUGUGAGAAGUCAGUAGUCCUCCUCUGUGGGUGAAUAUUCACAUGUUGGUCUAACAGUUAGUCUUAGAAUCAUAGUGGCAACCAGCUCAUGCUUUCAUCUCUCCUUUUAUACAAAUUUUCUAAAGCUUUUCAUUUUCUCCCUUUAUUUUUAGACUUCAGGCUUAUUGCAUGAGUUUGGAUGGUGUUCUUAUAUUUUGGCAUAAGAAAGUCCAUUCUUAGUUAUAAAUAAAGAAAGAAAACAAAACCAAAAGAACCAAGAUCUCUGAAGCAUCGUCUAAGCCAUCCUUUUCCCUUCAAUGGACUGUAUUCCCUAAGACUGGAACAAAAUGGUUCUCUCUUCUCUUAUGUUGGUUUUCUUAGUUAUUUUGCCUUAGAAUUGAUUGAAGUUACUAAUGUAAAUACCACAUCUAUUAAAAGAAAGCAUUCUAUGGCUUUCACUCUCAGAGGUUAAGAAGACCUUCCUCAUGAAUUGUUACUACAGUGGAGCUUUCCUCUGAUGCGCAAACCCACAUUCAGUGGGGGAGUGGAGGUAUUGUCAAGCGUAAAUGGUCAUUGCUAGAGUGCAUCCUCAACUUCUAAAUUGCUAACCGAAGAUAUCAAUGAUCAACAACAUUGAUACCUUCUUUGCUUGUUUCCAGCUGCAGUCAUGUUUGCUUUCAUAUAUUUAGAAAAUGUAUCCUUUGGAAUAGGUACUAUUCAUGAAGAUAUCAGGAAUAAGAAAUAUACCAGAUGGUCAUUGUUUCUUAAUUGUGCAGUCUGAACAAUAUCAAAAAAUAAAAACUCUCUUUUUUUCAUAUAGACAAUCCAACAUUAACUGAGCAGAGAAUAAAAUAUGAAUUUCAAUUGUUAUAUUUUGGAAGAAAGGAAAAGCAAUUCAUGCCACAUUUAAAACUAUAGACCUCAGCUUUUCCAAGUGUGAGCAGAGUAAGAAACAUCCUUAGCCUUUACUGAGCCAUUAACCACUGUCUUCAAAACUUUAGAAGUGUUUAAAAGAAUUAAGAAAUGUUUUGAGAUUAUUUAUUGCACAAUACUAAUGCCUAUCAAAAUUGAUGGCAAAAUUCUGCUCAAGAAGUUGAACAGCAUCAAAAUUGAACACAAUAGAUAAUAACACACACAUUCACUAUUGUACAACACAAGAAAAUGCACAGCACACAGGGCUAGGCAUCACAAGUUUUGCUCAUUCCAUUCCUAUGAAAAAAAGAAAGACCUGAUUUGAAUUAAAACCACCUCUGGAGGUAGACUAAUGCAUAUUAUAAAAAAUGAGUUAGUGUAAGGCGUGGGAAAAGUUCAGACAUUCCUUUCGCAUAUUGAAUCAAUUAAUAGCAUGUACAAGGAAACCCUGAUUAUUUGAAGGAGUGGAGAAAAAUGACUUGAUUCUUUACAAGUAGUACAGACUAUUAUUAGUAUUCCAGAUAGACUGUGUUGUAGAGAGUCCAUCACCGGCUUUGAUCUGUCUGCAUCCACAGCUGGAAAGUCUGCACAGGGCUCUGGAAGCUGCACCAGCUGACAGUUGCCCCCAUCAGGAAAGUGAAUUAGUGCUUGCAAAUGUUAAUGAGAGGAUCAAAGCACAAAGGGGCAGAACUGGGUUCUUCAGAAAAAAAAAUCUGAUUUCAUUUCCUGUGGACAAAAAUAAUUAAAAUAUUCAUAAGUUCUCAGCUUACUUUAGACUUCGUAUCCAUCACACUCUGACUUGGUCUUCUACCAUUCUUUUGUUCUCUUUCUUCAUGCUCAUGCUGCAGGUUUCGCCUUUCUUCUUGCUUUCUCUUCCUUUUCUAUCUGAAAGUGUUUGAACUCACCAGGAAAUAAGUGUGUCCUAAAUGAUCAAAAGUAUAACAACAGUUACAUAAAACGUCUAUGUAUGCUAUUCCUCCAGUUACACACACACACAUGCUACGAGCUCGCAAAGGUAUGUCCUCUAUGCUGUGAAUAUUUCAUUUAAGUACUGCAGGCAUCAGGGAAACUACCAAAUUGUAGAUACCAAGAUACCAUACUGAUUUAGAUUACCCAGGUCCAGACAUUGAUAAUGACUCCAGGGAAAAUAGUUAAAGACCAUCACCUAGGGUGCUUCACUUACAUUUUAUGUUUCCAGGUUUUCUUGUGUUUGUGGAACUAUAUUAUGUCAGAUUGUCUGUUUUCCGUUACACAUCAUCAUGUAUCCCAAGAGCUGUGAUGGGAAUUCAAGGUGAAAAAGAUAAUUCUAAUCAUAUUCAUUGAUUCUAUGACUUUAGAAAUUAAACUAAUUCUUGUUCCAUAAAUUAUUCUUCUCAUUACUUUAAUAUUCUGACUUUAUUACAGAAUGUAUUUCUUUAAGGGUGCAUCACAGCCCUCAUCAUCCUCCAAUUUCUACAUUCACCUUCCCCUUUGUCUUCUUCAAUAAUUGUCUUUAUCUAAGGAGGUCCAAUAGCUCCCCAACCUUUCCCCCUACUUAAAACUAUUUCUUAUAAUUUUGAGAUUGUAAUGUAAUUACAAAAUUAUGUCAUUUUCCCCUUUCAUUUGCUCCUUCCAAGCCCUUUUGUAUACCCCUUCCUGUUCUAUUUCAAGUCCAUGGGCUUUGUUCUCAUUCAUUCCUGUUGCGUGCAUAUAUGUGUAUGUAUUCCUCUAUAAAAAAUACAGACUGCUCAGUAUGUUACUUGAGACAUACAUCCACAGCCUCUUAAUUUAUUUCUUGCCUUCAGACACAUAAGGAAAUACUCUGUUUGAUGGAGUGUCACUGCUAUCUGUUCUAGAAACACUAAUGUUUAACCUAUGCCAUUUCGAACUUGUGUUGGCCAGUGAAGUACAUAACAACCAACUAUUGCAUUCUCUUAGGUGUGUAUCAUAACACUUACCAUAGAGGAAAGGAUUUAUAAUGUUUUUAGUUUUGGAAUAUUAGCUUGAAUAUAAAUUAAAAUUGAAAUGUAGGUAUAUACUACAGAAUAAAGGUGCUCUAACCGGACUUUUCUCAUGUGUGAAUAUGGAGUCUCUGUGCCCCACCAUGCUAUAGCUACAAUGUAAUCAAACCAUACAGCUUUCCAGCUGAGCAAAUCUCUACUUGUAAGGAAGCCCUGAGGCCUCGAGUCUGUAGGCUUUAUUUUUCCAAGAUGAUGUGUAUAAAUAUGUGCUUUUAUAGAACUGGAAGUUUAGGUGGUUGUAAGCUGCCUAGCACUCCUUCUGGGAAUUGAACUUGGGUCCUCUGUAAGAACAGUAUGGGCUCUCAAAAAGUGAACUGCCUCUCUAGCAAUAUCAGAAAAGUUUGGCCUCAAAACAGUACAUGUUUCUAAGUAACCUCAAUCUUGUUUCCUGACAGUUAUAUAAUUUCUUAUACUGGCAAAAUUAUUCUAUACAUUCAUGACAUUUUUCAUUUUGCGACCAAUUUGCCUCAUUGAUUUUAGAGCCUUAUUAAUAAAAUGUCAAAGAUUUAAAUACUCACCUAAGUCAGCUAAAUAGGUUAAGUCAUGCUGUUUACUUAUUCUGAAAAUAUACCUAAUAACUAGGGAAAUUCCAAUUCAAUAUCUUUAAAUUCUUUCUGGGUCUCUAGAUUCCUUCUUAAUCUUUGUGACUACUGCUGUUGAAGACCUUUUAAUACCAACAUUAUUAUUACUAUUAUGGGUUUUCUUUUAUUAGAAUUUAUGUCCAGCUUAACAUUUUACUUCCUAUAUACUUUUAUUUCACUUUCUUGCUUCUUAUUUGUGUACCUUUUUUAUUAUCACAAAUUUAAUAUACUAAAGACCUUAUUAGUAUACUUUAUAUGUUUUUCCAAAAGAUUCAGAAAUUGCCAAUAAGAUUCAAGCAGUUGAUUCUUUACCUUUGAUUAUAUCAAUCGGAUGAACUUGAAACACAGGUUUGGAGAGCACCUAUGCAAAGAUGCUUUAACAGAUACUUACCAAAUACUCAAAGUUUGAAUGCAUUUGUACCAUUUCAUUGAUUUUUGUUUGUUUGUGUUUAUUUGUUUAUUUUUGAACAGGUUCUCACUAUGCAUUCCUGGCUGGCUGGAACUUGUGGGUAUCAACUGUGUAUCAGUCUGUCGUCUAAUUCACAAAGAUCCAUCUGCCUCUGCCUCCAAAGAAUUGGAAUAAAUGUAUGAGUUAAGUUCUGCUUUACAACAUGUCAACCCCAAAUGCAGUGCUUUAAAUAGUGUGUUGUUUUCCUUAGAGUUCUACUACCUAUUGAACAGUUAUUAUUUUCUCACUUGACUUGAUUGGCACAGGGUUGACUGUUGGGACCUACUAAUUGUGGUCAAAGUCUGCCAUUGUCCAGAUAGCCUUCUGAACUUGGUGUAAAAUAGGGGACUCCCUUUACCAUCAGAGCAUCUUCGGUGACCUUGUCUGGGGAUCCCCAAAACGCCACCGUCUACUUGCAGAAUGUCACAUAGUCUUGGUGAGAUUAUGCUGCUUGCUCUCUGGUCUGCCUGCUACUCAAACUGACUUGCAGUUGGGGGUUGGAGAUGACUGAGUUAGACCUGAAUCAAUAGCUCAGACUCAGAGAUUGGGUGAGAACUUCAUAAUAAUGCUGCUGCAAGCUGAUUUAUUAAACCCCAGGGAUGGGGGCAGCCUUUCUACCCUCUACCCAUGUCCCAUUGGUCCCAUCCAAGUAUGUCUUCUAAGCAACAUUUCCCAAUUGGCUGGUAUUGUCUGCACCAGCAAUCCUUAGUCUCUCAGGUAGUCUUUAAUUAGUACAACUUCUAUACAGCAGUUCCUUUCCUGUUUAAGCCUAGGACCCCUGGAUGUUUAUGCAAUGCAGUCACCGUUGUUCAUUCUACAAGAUAACAAGUUCAACUACCUCUUUUUCUUUUCCUGAUAAGAACCAACCCAACAAGUGCCUGGGAUUCCUGGAAUGCCUCU
rnacentral:sRNA from 1 species